GUGGAUGUAGUUCAAUUGGUAGAGCGCCAGAUUGUGGGUCUGGUUGUUGCGGGUUCAAGUCCCGUCAUCCACC
rnacentral:tRNA from 1 species